rnacentral:snoRNA from 1 species
UUCUGUGAUGACCAAACGACACGAAAGGCAUUCCUCAGACUUAAUCACCAUGUGGAAUCUGUCCUGUUUACAAGUUUCAGCCUUGUCUGACU